UUCUAGGAGCCUGAAAUUUAUGGAAUCACCACAAUCGAUGUGUGUUUGAUGGUGCUUCUCCUAGUAUCUCGAACACCAUCUCGACCACCUUUAAAGAUCUGCAGCAACGGUCCUUGGCCGGGGCUAGAGGAAUUUCCUUUCUCCUCGCCCUGGCGCCCAGAGACAGUUAGAUUUUGGUCCAUCCUGGUCUAGUAUUUUCUCUUCGAAAGACAAGUCAGUGUAGAUGUUUUUAGGGGGUUACAACCCCUUCUCAUCUGUAACAUUUUGGGGGGAUAAACCCCCCCAUUUUUUUCUUAAUAUAAUGAUGCACAGUUCUCCUUCACGUUCGAGGGAAAAAAAGUUGAGUUAUCUGGAGCUACAUAACCAAUGGACGCGUGUUUAAGAAAAAAUAACAUAACCAAUUGAGGCGCUUUUAUUCCAGUCAUGCUAUCUGGAAUUUGCAGAGCAUUGGUUGUAUUUUGACUCAUAUAUGUUGCUGAAUUCUCUACAAAAAUUUGUCAUACAGACAGGUAAACCUCUGGAUCUAAUCCAUUUUGACACAUUUUUUAAGUUUCUUUUAUACUUCCAUAUAUCUGAUGAAAAUAAAUGCAGGGAAGAAUUAUAAAGCUGAAAAGUCAUGUACAUCUUCAGUUAUUUCAGACAAAGGACAGUGAACAAACAACCAAGAGAAGUGGCAGGGAGUAGUUCAGAGGCAGCAAAUUAGCAACAAACAAUAUCUUACCAGAGAACAAUUCAGGAUUAGCAUUGUGGAAAUGGCCGAACAGAACUCUUUAUGUACUAGAUAUGCGUUCCUGCAAAGCCAGGCACUGUAUGAUCUAUGAAUUUAACAAAAGAAAACGGAGGUGCAAGUUCCUGGGCCA